rnacentral:rRNA from 1 species
CUUGGAUUUGUUAAAGACUAACUAAUGCGAAAGCAUUUGCCAAGUAUGUUUUCAUUAAUCAAGAACGAAAGUUAGGGGAUCAAAGACGAUUAGAUACCGUCCUAGUCUUAACUGUAAACGAUUCCAUCUUAGAAUUGGGUGAAUAUUUGAUGAUUCAUCCAGCGCUAUAAGAGAAAUCAAAGUCUUUGGGUUCUUGGUGGAGUAUAGUCGCAAGAUCGAAACUUAACAAAAUUGGCGGGAAUUUGUUCAAACGGUGGAACAUGUGGUUAAUGCGAUGAUCCGCGAAAAAUCUUACCAAUGCAUUUUCUAAAAUUACUUAAAGCAAUUUUUAAUUAAAUAAUUGCUUGUUUUUAGAAUUAGGUGCUGCAUGGCUGUCGUCAGCUCGUGUUGUGAGGCGUAAAAUUAACUUUUUUUACGGGCGUCAACUCUCAAAUUAGUUUUAAAUGUAUUUUUUUUUAAAAAUAUA